rnacentral:sRNA from 1 species
AGAUGCAAUUGGUUAUGACAAGUUUUAUGCAUCGGUACAGAAGCUCUUUGGUCCAGAUGUGAAGAAUCAAGAUGUGAAACGCUUUUACAGGAAACUGUGCAACAACAUGGAUGCAUCUGCAGACUGGUGUGAGAUCUUUGGAUACUUCUCCUCUGAAGAAGAUCCUAUUGCUUCCCAGUUGGAUGAAGAAAAUUUGGUUUUCUUUGUGUCUAGAAAAAGGCGAAUUUUAAUUUCAGGUAGUAGAAGACGAGAUGUGAUUAAGAGCAUUGUCAAGAUACCUCACCUGGAUUUACUAAUAACAGCUACUCAGAAAGGAUUAAUAACAGUUUUUAAUAACCAGAUGAGAGUUCAGACCAGCACCAAUGUUACAGUAAGACACCUCCUGGAUUACAGGGUGUGAUUACCUCUUGCAGCUGAAACGAAUCGUAGCCACAACCGAAAGGACCAUUAUUGUCUGGGAUUAUAAAGCUCAAGGGAGCAGCCAGGACAAUUAUUUUGUCAUAAAGCCAAUGGAUCACUGCCUCCUGUGUGUGUGUGUGGUGCCUUUGCCUGACCAUCUCUGCCGAGAUGACAUCCUCUUGGGGGAUGAUGGGGGUUUUGUGAACAGAUUCACAGUCAACAGUGAUGACUUUGGAAUAAAGCAGGCAAAAUCCAAA